rfam:Echinostoma caproni strain Egypt genome assembly, scaffold: ECPE_scaffold0004336
GCACCGUUGACGAGUCCUAAACAGGACGAAACAGCUGUCCAGUGC